UACGUAGGGUGCGAGCGUUAAUCGGAAUUACUGGGCGUAAAGCGUGCGCAGGCGGUGAUGUAAGACAGUUGUGAAAUCCCCGGGCUCAACCUGGGAACUGCACCUGUGACUGCAUCGCUGGAGUGCGGCAGAGGGGGAUGGAAUUCCGCGUGUAGCAGUGAAAUGCGUAGAUAUGCGGAGGAACACCGAUGGCGAAGGCAAUCCCCUGGGCCUGCACUGACGCUCAUGCACGAAAGCGUGGGGAGCAAACAGG
rnacentral:rRNA from 1 species